GGUGAAUAUUGCACAAUGGGCGAAAGCCUGAUGCAGCAACGCCGCGUGAGUGAUGAAGGCCUUCGGGUUGUAAAGCUCUGUCUUCUGGGACGAUAAUGACGGUACCAGAGGAGGAAGCCACGGCUAACUACGUGCCAGCAGCCGCGGUAAUACGUAGGUGGCAAGCGUUGUCCGGAAUUACUGGGCGUAAAGGAUGCGUAGGCGGAUACUUAAGUCAGAUGUGAAAAUCCCGGGCUUAACUUGGGAACUGCAUUUGAAACUGGGUAUCUAGAGUGCGGGAGAGGAAAGUGGAAUUCCUAGUGUAGCGGUGAAAUGCGUAGAGAUUAGGAAGAACACCAGUGGCGAAGGCGACUUUCUGGACCGUAACUGACGCUGAGGCAUGAAAGCGUGGGGAGCAAAC
rnacentral:rRNA from 1 species